AGCGGCGGACGGGUGAGUAAUGCUUAGGAAUCUGCCUAUUAGUGGGGGACAACAUUCCGAAAGGAAUGCUAAUACCGCAUACGUCCUACGGGAGAAAGCAGGGGAUCUUCGGACCUUGCGCUAGUAGAUGAGCCUAAGUCGGAUUAGCUAGUUGGUGGGGUAAAGGCCUACCAAGGCGACGAUCUGUAGCGGGUCUGAGAGGAUGAUCCGCCACACUGGGACUGAGACACGGCCCAGACUCCUACGGGAGGCAGCAGUGGGGAAUAUUGGACAAUGGGGGGAACCCUGAUCCAGCCAUGCCGCGUGUGUGAAGAAGGCCUUAUGGUUGUAAAGCACUUUAAGCGAGGAGGAGGCUACUGAGACUAAUACUCUUGGAUAGUGGACGUUACUCGCAGAAUAAGCACCGGCUAACUCUGUGCCAGCAGCCGCGGUAAUACAGAGGGUGCGAGCGUUAAUCGGAUUUACUGGGCGUAAAGCGUGCGUAGGCGGCUGAUUAAGUCGGAUGUGAAAUCCCUGAGCUUAACUUAGGAAUUGCAUUCGAUACUGGUCAGCUAGAGUAUGGGAGAGGAUGGUAGAAUUCCAGGUGUAGCGGUGAAAUGCGUAGAGAUCUGGAGGAAUACCGAUGGCGAAGGCAGCCAUCUGGCCUAAUACUGACGCUGAGGUACGAAAGCAUGGGGAGCAAACAGGAUUAGAUACCCUGGUAGUCUAUGCCGUAAACGAUGUCUACUAGC
rnacentral:rRNA from 1 species